rnacentral:rRNA from 1 species
AAAUUGAAGAGUUUGAUCAUGGCUCAGAUUGAACGCUGGCGGCAGGCCUAACACAUGCAAGUCGAACGGUAACAGGAAGCAGCUUGCUGCUUCGCUGACGAGUGGCGGACGGGUGAGUAAUGUCUGGGAAACUGCCUGAUGGAGGGGGAUAACUACUGGAAACGGUAGCUAAUACCGCAUAAUGUCGCAAGACCAAAGAGGGGGACCUUCGGGCCUCUUGCCAUCGGAUGUGCCCAGGUGGGAUUAGCUUGUUGGUGGGGUA